UCAUACUCCUCACUGAACCAAAUUCGAUUUACAGAAAAAUAAGUACAAGAUAUUAGCUACACAGGUUCCCGUAAAUUUCCCGUGUUUCGUAUACAUUGUCGCCACCACGGCGGCACGGCACCACCACCUAUACAACCGAACACCAUUCUAAAUACCUUCUCUCGUUGAAUAAUACCCAGGAGAAACCAUUAUAAUCCUAGUUCUAGCAAACCGUUGCCGAAAUCGAAACCCAAAAUCAUGUACACCAUCUUUUCUCUCUCCUCACCGACGCAGACCACCGCCACCACUGCUGCCCAGAAUCACCGUCGCCACCUUGCUGCACCCACCUGAAUCCCUCCCUGUGACACCCUUACCCUUGUGUCUCUUGCUACCUCACGCAAACCUCUGCCCAGCUCCUCCUCCUUCUUCGUACUUAUCUGUUUUUAGACCAAAAAUGCUACUUUUCCAAUUUCCUGAUUUUGUUUAGAACCAGGAGACAUAAAAGUCAAAAGUCAACCAUUAGGAACUUUUCUUAACCAAUGAGCUAAAAGAUAGUUCGGAGCUCAGGAAGAACGAUCCAUCGAACGGGAAGUAUAAAAUUUCGGUUGAGGUACGAAGAAGAUCAUGGAAUGCCUUAGAGUGAGGAUGCAACCAUCAAAUUCACGAUCGAUGUUUAAUAAAGAUAAUCUUGUAUCACUAGUAAUAAUGGAUGAACUAAUUAAACUCUAAGUCAAAUUUCAAUUAUUGAGUUGGAUUUUAAUAUUUAUGUUUAAUCAAUGUUAGGAAUAUUUAUUAAAUUUCAUUUAGAUUUCGAUGUAAAUAUUAAAGAAUUAAUCGAAGUGAAGUAUAAUUACUGUUACUCAACAGUAGUCAGUAAAUGUAAAAAGGUUAUGUCGCCUUGUAUUUCCCACGAGGGAGGUACGGCAUGUGACGCUCCGACUAAAUUAGGGUUUCCGCUGCUAAUUAAAGAUAAUUAACCUAAUAAAUGGUGUUUAGAAGUCGGGGUGUUCCAUUAUAAUUCUUGAACAGUAAUUAAGAAAAACAUUAACUACAUAGUUAGUUGUUUUUAGCUAUGACAUUCUUGUAAUAACCCGUAUUAAUU